GGAUUCGUGGUCUAGGUGGUUAUGACGUCGCCUUCACAUGGCGGAGGUCUUGGGUUCGAAUCCCAACGGAUCCA
rnacentral:tRNA from 1 species